AUAUCAAGAAUAACAACAAGAUAUAAACAGUCUUCUAGAAAUUGAACUCUUUGCAUCUUCUAUACAGGUAUCUCAUGAUCAUGUGAUAACACACAGGAAGAAAAAUAGAGGAAAAAACAGCGUAAAAAAAAGUUGCGUAGGAGUAUCGUCGCACUACAUCAUUCGACAAUUGAUGCACGUCAUGGCGAUCGUCACGGUUUAAAGCAGGCCAUCAAAAACACGUUUGUUAUCGUACGGAAAAAUCUGCGACGUUCCAGCUGUUCAGGUGCAUCGAAUUGUGAAUCAUCGGCGGUACGAAGCAAGGCGAGGGGCGUAAAUAGAGAAAGAAGAGAAGAGAAGGAUUCGCAUAAAUGAUAAAAUAUAAUCGUUCGUUCCUCGUCGAUGGCGGAUGGAUGGCUUUAAUCGUGGAUGAUAUCGAUACGAUUAUAUUUUAUACAUUUGAAACAAAUAUAAAAGACGAGCAAAAACCAGA